rnacentral:rRNA from 1 species
GACGAACGCUGGCGGCGUGCUUAACACAUGCAAGUCGAACGGAAAGGCCCUGCUUUUGUGGGGUGCUCGAGUGGCGAACGGGUGAGUAACACGUGAGUAACCUGCCCUUGACUUUGGGAUAACUUCAGGAAACUGGGGCUAAUACCGGAUAGGAGCUCCUGCUGCAUGGUGGGGGUUGGAAAGUUUCGGCGGUUGGGGAUGGACUCGCGGCUUAUCAGCUUGUUGGUGGGGUAGUGGCUUACCAAGGCUUUGACGGGUAGCCGGCCUGAGAGGGUGACCGGCCACAUUGGGACUGAGAUACGGCCCAGACUCCUACGGGAGGCAGCAGUGGGGAAUAUUGCACAAUGGGCGGAAGCCGGAUGCAGCAACGCCGCGUGCGGGAUGACGGCCUUCGGGUGGUAAACCGCUUUCGCCUGUGACGAAGCGUGAGUGACGGUAAUGGGUAAAGAAACACCGGCUAACUACGG